AUUGAACGCUGGCGGCAGGCCUAACACAUGCAAGUCGAACGAGUGGCGGACGGGUGAGGAAUGUCUGGGAAACUGCCCGAUGGAGGGGGAUCACUACUGGAAACGGUAGCUAAUACCGCAUACCAUCGGAUGUGCCCAGAUGGGAUUAGCUAGUAGGUGGGGUAACGGUUCACCUAGGCGACGAUCCCUAGCUGGCCUGAGAGGAUGACCAGCCACACGGGCACUUGGACACGGUCCAAACUCCUACGGGAGGCAGCAGUGGGGAAUAUUGCACAAUGGGCGCAAGCCUGAUGCAGCAAUGCCGCUUGUAUGAAGAAGGCCUUCGGGUUGUAAAGUACUUUCAGCGAGGAGGCGUUACUCGCAGAAGAAGCACCGGCUAACUCCGUGCCAGCAGCCGCGGUAAUUC
rnacentral:rRNA from 1 species